UAGCCUAACGGCUGAACCAGCAACUUGGAGGAAUGUAUAGCGAAAGCUAAUUGUAUUAACCAACAGUUGAUGCAAUAUCGACUAUGUCGACUAAAAUUCUAGGUAGAGUAAUGAUAAUGACAUUUUUUACCUAUAGGUCUUGACCAAAUCACGUGCCAGCAGUCGCGGUAAUACGUGGAAGACUAGUGUUAUUCAUAUUUAAUAGGUUUAAAGGGUACCUAGACGGUAUAUCUAGCCCAAAAAGGGUACUGGUAAACUAGAGUUUAAUGUGAGGGGGGGAGUACUAAUGGAGUAGAGAUGAAAUUCUGUCAUACCAAGAGGUAACAGGUAUCGGCGAAAGCAACCCUUUAUGCAAAAACUGACGUUGAGGGACGAAGGCCUCGGUCACAAACAGGAUUAGAUACCCUAGUAGUCUGGGCAGACAACGCUGAAUGCCAUAGAUUAGAUUGUAUUUCUUCUAUAAAUGAAAGUGUAAGCAUUCCACCUCAAGAGUAAUUUGGCGACAUUGAAACUGAAAUCAUUAGACCGUUUCUGAAACCAGUAGUGAAGUAUGUUGUUUAAUUUGUUGGCCCUCAAAAAACCUUACCACAAUUUGAAUAUUUUUAUAUUUCUUAUAAUUAUACAGGAGUUGCACGGCUGUCUUCAGUUAAUGUCGUGAGAAUUUGGUUAGUUCCAAAAAAUUAACGUAAACCCUUACUUUAUUUUUUUUUAUAAAGUUGUUCACCGCUAUAUUGGAUAUGAUAAAAGGGACUAAGACAAGUCAUCAUGGCCUAAAUAUUGUGGGCUAUAGACGUGCCACAUAUACCAAUGCAAAGGGGUGCAAAAUUGCAAAAUAGAGCUAAUCCCUAAAAAUUGGAUAUAAU
rnacentral:rRNA from 1 species